rnacentral:rRNA from 1 species
UUGAUCCUGGCUCAGGACGAACGCUGGCGGCGUGCUUAACACAUGCAAGUCGAACGCUGAAGCCCAGCUUGCUGGGUGGAUGAGUGGCGAACGGGUGAGUAACACGUGAGUAACCUGCCCCCUUCUUUGGGAUAACGCCCGGAAACGGGUGCUAAUACUGGAUAUUCACUGAUCUUCGCAUGGGGGUUGGUGGAAAGGUUUGUUCUGGUGGGGGAUGGGCUCGCGGCCUAUCAGCUUGUUGGUGGGGUGAUGGCCUACCAAGGCUUUGACGGGUAGCCGGCCUGAGAGGGUGACCGGUCACAUUGGGACUGAGAUACGGCCCAGACUCCUACGGGAGGCAGCAGUGGGGAAUAUUGCACAAUGGGCGAAAGCCUGAUGCAGCGACGCCGCGUGAGGGAUGACGGCCUUCGGGUUGUAAACCUCUUUCGCUCAUGGUCAAGCCGCAACUGUGGGUUGUGGUGAGGGUAGUGGGUAAAGAAGCGCCGGCUAACUACGUGCCAGCAGCCGC